GGAACGCAGGGCGAGUUUCUGUUGAACCAGCUAAUAACCGACAACAGCAGAAACGGAGGCAAGAUUUUCCGUGUUGCUAAAUGGAAAUAUUUCCAAAUAUAAGUUUUGGUUUGCAUCGUGAGUCUACAACCUGAAGAAGAAACGAGGAGAUACAGACAGACGAGACUGUACAGCUAUUAAAGCUGAGCCUUUGUCUAAGCAGCUCUUCUGAAGGACAUAUCGUUGAAGUGAAGCUCUUUUUGCCUUUGAAGGGAGCUCGACAUAGAGGACAGAGCUGCGCUUCUGUGAGUCCCAAAAUCAUCGCAGCGCAAGGAUGAUCUGUGUUCAGUCGUGAGUCAGUGGCCGAAGACGGCCCAGGUGUCAAGAUGCCUCUGGGAAACCAGGCCUGGGGAGGUGAAACACAGGUCAGCACAGAGAAAUACUCAGCGUCCAGAUUGUCUGAAAACAUGUUUUUCCCCCUCUAUCCAUCCUUUAACCUCCUCAAC